AUUCCAGCUCCAAUAGCGUAUAUCAAAGUUGUUGCAGUUAAAAAGCUCGUAGUUGAAUUUCGGGAUCAAUUUAUCGGUCGUGCCAAUGGUAUGAACUGGUACAAUUGGUUUCUCCCUUCUGACGAAGCAUGAUGUCAUUACUUUGGUGUCGUGGGGAAUCAGGACUGUUACUUUGAAAAAAUUAGAGUGUUUAAAGCAAGCAUUAGCUUGAAUACAUUAGCAUGGAAUAAUGAAAUAGGACGUUUGAUCCUAUUUCGUUGGUUUCUAGGAUCGACGUAAUGAUUAAUAGGGAUAGUUGGGGGCAUUAGUAUUCAAUUGUCAGAGGUGAAAUUCUUGGAUUUAUUGAAGACUAACUACUGCGAAAGCAUUUGCCAAGGAUGUUUUCAUUAAUCAAGAACGAAAGUUAGGGGAUCGAAGACGAUCAGAUACCGUCGUAGUCUUAACCAUAAACUAUGCCGACUAGGGAUCGGAUGAUGUUAAUUUUUUAAUGACUCAUUCGGCGCCUUACGGGAAGCCAAAGUGUUUGGGUUCCGGGGGGAGUAUGGUCGCAAGGCUGAAACUUAAAGGAAUUGACGGAAGGGCACCACCAGGGGUGGAGCCUGCGGCUUAAUUUGACCCAACACGGGGAAACUCACCAGGUCCAGACAUAGUAAGGAUUGACAGAUUGAGAGCUCUUUCUUGAUUCUAUGGGUGGUGGUGCAUGGCCGUUCUUAGUUGGUGGAGUGAUUUGUCUGGUUAAUUCCGAUAACGAACGAGACCUUAACCUGCUAAAUAGCUAGGCUUAGCAUUGCUAGGUCGUCAGCUUCUUAGAGGGACUAUCGGUGUUUAACCGAUGAAGUUUGAGGCAAUAACAGGUCUGUGAUGCCCUUAGGUGUUCUGGGCCGCACGCGCGCUACACUGAUGAAGUCAACGAGUUCACUCCCUUUGUCGGAAGACAUGGGUAAUCUUUUGAAACUUCAUCGUGCUGGGGAUAGAGCAUUGCAAUUAUUGCUCUUAAACGAGGAAUCCCUAGUAAGUACAAGUCAUCAGCUUGUGCUGAUUACGUCCCUGCCCUUUGUACACACCGCCCGUCGCUACUACCGAUUGAAUGGCUUAGUGAGGACUUCGGAUUGAGCUUCGGAAGCUGUAAAAGGCAUCCGAUUUUUAAAAAGUUGUUCAAACUUGGUCAUUUAGAGGAAGUAAAAGUC
rnacentral:rRNA from 1 species